UACGUAGGUGACAAGCGUUAUCCGGAAUUACUGGGCGUAAAGCGCACGCAGGCGGCGCAUUAAGUCUGAUGUGAAAUCUCCCGGCUUAACUGGGAGGGUCAUUGGAAACUGAUGUGCUCGAGGCGGUGAGAGGGGUGUAGAAUUCCCGGUGUAGUGGUGGAAUGCGUAGAUAUCGGGAGGAAUACCAGUGGCGAAAGCGGCACCCUGGCACUAGCCUGACGCUCAUGCACGACAGCGUGGGGAUCAAACAGG
rnacentral:rRNA from 1 species